rnacentral:rRNA from 1 species
GAUGAACGCUGGCGGCGUGCCUAAUACAUGCAAGUCGAGCGAACAGACGAGGAGAUUGCUCCUCUGACGUUAGCGGCGGACGGGUGAGUAACACGUGGAUAACCUACCUAUAAGACUGGGAUAACUUCGGGAAAACGGAGCUAAUACCGGAUAAUAUAUUGAACCGCAUGGUUCAAUAGUGAAUGACGGCUUUGCUGUCACUUAUAGAUGGAUCCGCGCCGCAUUAGCUAGUUGGUAAGGUAACGGCUUACCAAGGCGACGAUGCGUAGCCGACCUGAGAGGGUGAUCGGCCACACUGGAACUGAGACACGGUCCAGACUCCUACGGGAGGCAGCAGUAGGGAAUCUUCCGCAAAGGGCGAAAGCCUGACGGAGCAACGCCGCGUGAGUGAUGAAGGUCUUCGGAUCGUAAAACUCUGUUAUUAGGGAAGAACAAAUGUGUAAGUAACUAUGCACGUCUUGACGGUACCUAAUCAGAAAGCCACGGCUAACUACGUG